UAAGUAAACAGCCUUAGUAGCUU
rnacentral:tRNA from 1 species